UACGUAGGGGGCAAGCGUUGCCCGGAUUUACUGGGCGUAAAGCGCGUGUAGGCGGCCAAGCAGGUCCGUUGUGAAAACUGGAGGCUUAACCUCCAGACGUCGACGGAAACCGCGUGGCUAGAGUCCGGAAGAGGAGAGUGGAAUUCCUGGUGUAGCGGUGAAAUGCGCAGAUAUCAGGAAGAACACCAAUGGCGAAGGCAGCUCUCUGGGACGGUACUGACGCUGAGACGCGAAAGCGUGGGGAGCGAACAGG
rnacentral:rRNA from 1 species